GACGAAGGGGGCUAGCGUUGUUCGGAAUUACUGGGCGUAAAGCGCGUGUAGGCGGUUGUCCAAGUUGGAUGUGAAAGCCUUGAGCUCAACUCAAGAAAUGUAUUCAGGACUGGAUGACUAGAGGACCGGAGAGGAUAGUGGAAUUCCCAGUGUAGUGGUGAAAUACGUAGAGAUUGGGAAGAACACCAGUGGCGAAGGCGGCUAUCUGGACGGUUUCUGACGCUAAGACGCGAAAGCGUGGGGAGCGAACAGG
rnacentral:rRNA from 1 species